UACAGAGGGUGCAAGCGUUAAUCGGAAUUACUGGGCGUAAAGCGUGCGUAGACGGUAGCGUAAGUCGGGUGUGAAAGCCCCGGGCUCAACCUGGGAAUUGCAUUCGAGACUGCUCUGCUAGGGUGCGGAAGAGGGGAGCGGAAUUUCCGGUGUAGCGGUGAAAUGCGUAGAUAUCAGGAGGAACACCGGUGGCGAAGGCGGAUCUCUGGGCCGAUACUGACGCUGAGGAGCGAAAGCGUGGGGAGCGAACAGG
rnacentral:rRNA from 1 species